CCCGAUGGAGGGGGAUAACUACUGGAAACGGUAGCUAAUACCGCAUAACGUCUUCGGACCAAAGUGGGGGACCUUCGGGCCUCACACCAUCGGAUGUGCCCAGAUGGGAUUAGCUAGUAGGUGGGGUAAUGGCUCACCUAGGCGACGAUCCCUAGCUGGUCUGAGAGGAUGACCAGCCACACUGGAACUGAGACACGGUCCAGACUCCUACGGGAGGCAGCAGUGGGGAAUAUUGCACAAUGGGCGCAAGCCUGAUGCAGCCAUGCCGCGUGUAUGAAGAAGGCCUUCGGGUUGUAAAGUACUUUCAGCGGGGAGGAAGGCGAUAAGGUCAAUAACCUUGUCGAUUGACGUUACCCGCAGAAGAAGCACCGGCUAACUCCGUGCCAGCAGCCGCGGUAAU
rnacentral:rRNA from 1 species